rnacentral:rRNA from 1 species
GACAGAGGGUGCAAACGUUGUUCGGAAUUACUGGGCGUAAAGCGCGUGUAGGCAGCUCAGAAAGUCGGAUGUGAAAGCCCUGGGCUUAACUCGGAACGGUCAACUGAUACUGCGCGGCUAGAGUGCAGAAGGGGCAACUGGAAUUCUCGGUGUAGCGGUGAAAUGCGUAGAUAUCGAGAGGAACACCUGCGGCGAAGGCGGGUUGCUGGGCUGACACUGACGCUGAUGCGCGAAAGCCAGGGGAGCGAACGGG